GCUUGCGGUCCGUGUAUAAAAGGCGAGGAUUCGCGGUCUCGCUCUUGAAUGCCGUUGGUUUGGCUUUUUCGGUUAUGCAUGUGUGGUUAGUAAUGUUAGAUGCUGCCAGACCUGCUGAGCUUUUCCAGCAACUUUGUUUUUGUUCCUGAUUUACAGCAUCCGCAAUUCUUUCAGUUUUUAAAAAAUAAAAAGGCAGACCACGUCGACUGCAGUCCUUAUUGGGGAAUUUUGAUCAGGUGACCAUCAUCAGGCAAACCUUGUAGGCAGCAGUCCUUAUUAGGCGGUCCUUAGAAAGCUGUCUUCUCCGGACGGAAGAUGGACCAGAAGAAGACCCAGAAGGGAGAUCCUUGCCACAUUGGCUCGACGGAAGGGUGUUGCCUUCGCGCCUCCAGUGAGAUCUACACAUUCCAAUCCUAGUUUGUCCACUGGUAUCCUGAACGACCUCCAAUUAUCAUAGGUGUAUACAUUUUUAAAAAUCUACUUAAUAAGUAUAUCUCUAGACUGCUGCUUCUAAACAAACACAAUAAACUAUCUGAAAAUUGC